CAGUGCGGCCCAUGCAGCUUCUCAGCGGGGUCCAUCACCACCUGCACAGUAAUUCAGUGCGGCCCAUGCAGCUUCCCAGCGGGGUCCAUCACCACCUGCGCAGUAAUUCAGUGCAGCCCGUGCAGCUUCCCAGCGGGGUCCAUCACCACAUGUGCAGUAAUUCAGUGCAGGCCAUGCAGCUUCUCAGCGGGGUCCAUCACCACAUGUGCAGUAAUUCAGUGCAGGCCAUGCAGCUUCUCAGCGGGGUCCAUCACCACAUGUGCAUAGCUCUGGGUCACUUUAAAGAUCGCAUUACCUGAGUGCUCAGUGUUGCUGUAAGGAAAUGUCCUGCUGAAGUUUUUUUUUGUUUUUUUGUUGUUGUUGUUGAGACGGAGUCUCGCUCUGUUGCCCAGGUUGGAGUGCAAUGGCGCAGUCUUGGCUCACUGCAAGCUCCACCUCCUGGGUUCACGCCAUUCUCCUGCCUCAGCUUCCCAAGUAGCUGGGACUACAGGCGCCCGCCACCACGCCUGGCUGACUUUUUGAAUUUUUAGUAGAGACGGGGUUUUACCGUGUUAGCCAGGAUGGUCUCCAUCUCCUGACCUCAGGUGAUCUGCCCGCCUUGGCCUCCCGAAGUGCUGGGAUUACAGGCGUGAGCCACCAUGCACGGCCAGCCUGCUGAGGUUUUCAGACUUUAUCUCUGUAACUAACAGUUCACCAUCAGUUUGUUACCUAGUGGUACCAUUAUACCAUUUAGACAUUGCAUUUUUGAUGUGGGAAUGAAUUCCACGUUGAGCCCGUGUUAGAUUUCCCCGAGUACCAUACUUAGUCGUCUUCCUCUGUGAUGAGUAGAUUUGUAGUUUUCUAGCAGACAUUCACUCUCUGGUUGUUUGCCUAACCCCUGGGGGUUUGUUUUAUUUGUAUCUUGCUUUUUUCUUUUUGCCACUGGCGUCCCUUCCCACCCUCAGAUAAUGACUACCAACACACAUAUGGUAAGACAAUCAUGGGUUUGUCGUUUCUCUGUGUUUUUGGAGUGCAUUACAAAUGAAAUAUUUCUCGAAAAUAUUUUCAAACGUGAAUUCCUGUGUGCUUUGUCGGUAGAAACGCUGUUAGCCGCUGCUGCCCCACACACCCCAGAGCUAGCUCUGUGUUAGAAGGGUGUGUGCGCCUCCUGACGCACAUCCUUGCUGUGUUCCCUCGGUUGCCAUGUCAGGGUGGCCCAUUGAGCCAGGGAUGUUUUCCGAAUUGACUGGAUUCAUGGGAGCUUCCCUCGAUUUUAAAUUAAAGGCAGCACAGGCAUGUGUGGGAGGCCCGGUGGGGCCCUGUGCUUCCUGAGAGAGCCACACCAGGCAUUCGGUAGAUGUCAGAGACCAUCCCUGCUUAAAUGCCUCAGGUAUUUAACUAGCCGUACAAGCAGACACCAGCGCUGACCUCGGAGAAAGUCCCUCUUCAGCAGCCCCUUCUGGGUGACUUCUAAACAGAAAUCGGCUUCGUUCCUUGUUUAGCCUGACCUCUCUCUCCCUGUGUGUUUGUCCCUCAGACUGCUGGGUUCAAACACAAAAGUCCUGCUAUGUGUCCUGUGCACCAUUUACCUGCUUUAGUCGUUUUCAUUCCUCUUUACUAAACACUGCUGUUAUCCUUCGUCAUCACUUAAAUCAGUUUUUACCAGGUCUAUCUUGAGAACCAAUUCAAAUAUUAUUUCACUGUUUUAAAAGCUUUAAGUUUUCUAG
rnacentral:lncRNA from 1 species